GGAUUUAUAAAGAGGGCAGAGCAGAAUCCCCUCUGACAUGUACAAAGAAACAGAGGAGAAGGAGGCUGAACUAGAGCAUCACUUUGCUGGUCUUUCUCUCCAGCCACGCAGAGAGGAAUGCAUAGGUUUCUGCACAGAGCCCCCAUCUUCUCAGUGACGUCCUCUUUUUCCUUCACACAGUCACAUCCAUCCUCAAUUCCACUGUUGCCUCUAGCUGUGGCCCCCUCCUCCUCCUCUUCCUCCUCCCCUCUUCCCAGGUCUGCAGGAGCAGUGGCACUGGCUUGCACUGAUGGGGAUACACUAGAAUCGUCUGGAUUUCUUUCGCAGCUUUUUGCAUUUGCCUUUUGUUUAGGUGGGAGCGGCGCGCUCCACCAGCCCCCACAGCGGCGAGAGAGGAGGAGACAACUGUAAGCGUGAGCGAUAUCAUCUCCCCCUCCCUCUCCUGUCUCAUACAGCCCCCCCCUCGCUCUCGUGCUCCUGUUCCUUCAUUGCCACGGCCAUCAGGACCCGUCCUCCCUCUCCCAGCAUCAUUCUGCUUGGUUAUGCAAUGCACGGUGCUCCCCGGUGACUCGCUGCCGAGGCUGGUGGAAGACGCAGGCUUCCUUUGGCUCUGCUCCGUGGGAUUUUUCAUGGCUUCUGGUUUCUCUGGAAUAUCACCUGUCACACUCUCCUAAUUUGGGAGCUGCCUGUUCUCAUCCCCCCCGCCCCCCUCUCAGAGGAGGCUGGCUGUCACCGAACGCCUGCAGACUCAAACACGCUCACUGUUGGCAUGUGGGCUUCAGUGACGGGUAGGAGGCUUACUGAAAUGUUCAACUCCUGCUGAUCCUCAAAGGAGGCAAAACAAGCGACUGUGUGCUGAGGAACGAGGGGGUGGCACAGAGACGAUGUGGAGGGAGCUGGAGAAGAUGAGCAGAGGAGUUUAGACAAAGCAGGAGAAGAAAAAUUAAAAAAAAGAAAAGAUGCAGAGGUAAAGGACUGAAGGAAUGGUGGGGAGGUAAGACGGAGCCAAUGAGGAGAGGCUUUCUCCUCAGUAACAGGCUGAGUGUCUGAGCAGCAGAAACACAGCUUUGCUUUUAUGGACCGACUGUUUGGACUCAAGUGCUGGAACUUAAUCUAAGGGGAAGCUGGGGGAGGGGGGGUCCUGAACUUUACAGGUGUCGCUUUUGACGUGAAGGCAGAAGAAGAAACGCAAGGCUUGUGGCUUCCUCUCCCCGUUGCCUCUUCUGCUGCUGAGGGAAUGCGACUCCGUCCCAGAGAGCACCCGGUUUCUUAGCCUCCAUCUCCAUAUGCAGCAUGAUUUUUAAAGCCACAUUUCUUCUGGAAGGACUUCAGAAAGCAUGGUGGAUGAUGGUGUGCACCCAAAAAGCCAUUGGAUGAAUGUCCCUUUGCCAGGUUAGUUGAGCACCAGGAUCAUGGGCACUACUGUUGUCACUCUUGAUGAUGUGCGGGCUCUGGAGGUCAAGGAGGAGCAGGAGGAGUCCAUCUUAGCCCUGUUGGGCAUCAUCGGAACAUUCCUGAACCUGUUCGUGAUCGUGUUUGUUUACAUCUACACCACACUGUGAAGAGGCGAGGGCCAAGAAAAGUCAGGAGCAAAGCCUGUGAGGAGCUAAGAGCAGGUGUCUGCAGAGAAGGACAAAGCUGGCUGAGAAUGCCGCCCGACCUGAACCUUGACUGGAAACAAAGGACGGGUAGAAUGGCCAGACUGGCUAAGGAUGAAGGAGAAGGAGCCAUGUUGCCAAAUCCCAGCUAUGGGCUGUGGAGAUAACAAAGGGCUGGAGGAUACGAGGACAGUUCUCAGCUGAAAUCGGGCUGAGAGGAGCCCAACUGAAACGAAGAAAGCCCCCAUAAAGGAUUGGAAAUACAAACUUUCCUUUGAUAGAAUGUUUAUUGACAGCUGGACUAAAGGGAAAUAGAAACUGAUUCCUUUUAACUGUGCAAUUUCUUUGACUUUACGGUGAAGUUGGGAUACAGCCAUGGCCAUCUACCUACAAGGACAUGGGAGGAGCAAUUUCAGAAGUGAACCCAGCACAAACUAUGCUGGUUUGAGAACAAUGGUGGCCAAAAUGGCUACAAAACUUGAGACUUUCAGAGAAACGUGGCUGCCACCUGCAAUCACCCCCAAACUGGCUCUUCACUCAGACUUUUCAUUCAACCAAAAUAAAGGUCUCAUCUACUUUACAGUUACAGGGAAUUCUACAAGAAACUUUCAAAAAUCAAAAAACACUAACAUUGAGUUAUUUUUAUAUCAGCAAAAAACAACCUGUACUUAAAUAAUUUAGCUAAUUUUCAUGAAAACUGGACUGGUCCCGUUGUUUUUCUGCAAUUCCAACCAUCAUGUGAAGUUAGUGAAGGGUGUUUGAAGGUUUUCUGCAUUCAUUCAUCCUUGUUCGUUUAAGAGCAGUAAUAGGAGUACUAUUCUCUGUAUUUAAAAUGCCUUUUUAAAUAAAUAUUUGAACUAUGUUUCAAUGUGA